rnacentral:rRNA from 1 species
AUAUUGCGCAAUGGGGGGAACCCUGACGCAGCAACGCCGCGUGAGUGAAGAAGGCCUUCGGGUCGUAAAACUCUGUCAUAGGGGAAGAAAAAGAUGACGGUACCCUAUGAGGAAGCCCCGGCUAACUACGUGCCAGCAGCCGCGGUAAUACGUAGGGGGCGAGCGUUGUCCGGAAUUACUGGGCGUAAAGGGUGCGUAGGCGGCCUGAUAAGUCAGAUGUGAAAUACCAGGGCUCAACCUUGGGGGUGCAUUUGAAACUGUCGGGCUUGAGUGCAGGAGAGGAAAGUGGAAUUCCUAGUGUAGCGGUGAAAUGCGUAGAGAUUAGGAGGAACACCAGUGGCGAAGGCGACUUUCUGGACUGUAACUGACGCUGAGGCACGAAAGCGUGGGGAGCAAACAGG